CCUCCGGUGGUGUAGAGGUAGUGCGUUGCGCUAUAAUCUAGGCGGCCUGGGUUCGAUUCCCAGGAGUA